rnacentral:rRNA from 1 species
UACGAAGGGUGCAAGCGUUACUCGGAAUUACUGGGCGUAAAGCGUGCGUAGGUGGUGAGUUAAGUCUGUCGUGAAAGCCCCGGGCUCAACCUGGGAAUGGCGAUGGAUACUGGCUCGCUAGAGUGCGGUAGAGGAGAGUGGAAUUCCCGGUGUAGCAGUGAAAUGCGUAAAGAUCGGGAGGAACAUCAGUUGCGAAGGCGGCUCUCUGGACCAGCACUGACACUGAGGCACGAAAGCGUGGGGAGCAAACAGG